UACGUAGGCAGCAAACGUUGUUCGGAAUUACUGGGCGUAAAGAGUGUGUAGGCGGCUUUGUUAGUUUGGUGUGAAAUCUCCCGGCUUAACUGGGAGGGUGCGCCGAAUACUGCAAGGCUAGAGUACUGGAGAGGAAAGCGGAAUUCCUGGUGUAGCGGUGAAAUGCGUAGAUAUCAGGAGGAACACCGGUGGUGUAGACGGCUUCUGGACAGUAACUGACGCUGAGACACGAAAGCGUGGGGGGAGCAAACAGG
rnacentral:rRNA from 1 species